rfam:Stegodyphus mimosarum contig76060, whole genome shotgun sequence.
GCCUUCGUGGUGUAGCGGUCAGCACGCUCGACGCGCAACAGACAGGUCCGUGGUUCGAUUCCCGGCGAAGGCG